GUGAAUCAUCAAAUUUUUGAACGCAAAUUGCACUCUCUUCGGAGAGUAUGCCUGUUUGAGGGUCAGCCUAAAAAAAAUCGACAUAGUUGCUGUACCCCGUUACCUUUGUCCGAAAAUGGGUCAUCUUAAACCCUUGGGUUUUAGCCGCGUAAAAUUCUCCUUUCGGAUUCAAGAAACUUUUCUAGAUUUU
rnacentral:misc_RNA from 1 species